AAAAAAGAGUUUAACUUUUUUAAUAUGACAGACAUUUUGUCACUGCCUCCUGAAAUUCUCAAUCGGAUUCUGGAUUAUCUCCCACUCAGAGAAUUAUCAAGUGUUUGCUUGACGUGUAAGAAACUUAGGGACGUUGUCUAUGUUGACAGUGUUUGGCAAAAGAAAUGUAAACAAGAAUAUAACUUCAAAUCCAUAGAGGGCUGGAAUGUGAAUUACCGUACUUUGUACAGCAAAGUUUUACGUCCAUACGGCGAUUUAGUAGGCUUUUGGAGGAGAGAUUUCCGGUGUUAUGGGGGUUUACUGCAAGUCAAGUAUGACAAAGGAUGCAUCAAAGGACUGGAAGUACUGGCUCCAGCUAGUUCACGUGUAGAUAGACCACUACGGAAGAAAGACAUGUUUAUCAUAUCAAUCACGUCAUCAGAAACUGUGCAGGUUGUUUCCGUACAUAGUUUUCCAGAAAAAAAGGAAGAAGGAGAAGAGGGGGAUGAGGAAGAAGAAUUAGAAGAAGAAGGGAAAGAAGAACAGCGGCCGUGCUUACUUCGUGUGGAGCAAGACGAAAUAGAAGGAAGAGUUCUAGAAUAUAAAGUUACAGAUGCAAAUUUUAUCCUUCAAAAAGAGGGUCUGAUCAACCACCCAGUGUUCAGGAGAUGGAUUUCUGAGGAAUUAGAAGACGAUCCAUACGCCGAAAUGUACUUAAAUUGUGUACUCAGAAAGGGCGUGACGUAUUUGUUGUCAAGGCAUGAAUAUCGAUGGUUUCCCUUGGAGCUCCCAAGUAAAUACAGAGUUAACGUUCCUAUCCAACCCGGACUGUUCAAAGGUACAUACAGUGCCCACGGUAUCGAGAUACUGAGUCUGGACUAUAACGACGACUUAACAGAGGUCACGGUCACAAAGAUCACGGGUGAUCCGAAUGUUCCGGCCUCGGAAAUAAGUCUUUUCGGUGACCUCACAUCUCCCUUAGUGUUAACAGCGGAGCAGCAGGAAAAUCUGGACUCUCUGACGGCGAUCCCGGAACAUCACGCGAUGGAGCAGUCGGGAUCUACGGUCAGACAGCCCUUUCGGAUUCCGGAACACUUCUCAGACCGAGAUAAUCGGUACAUUCCGGAAUUCUGUACUUUCAGGUAUGAUUUACAUGUACAUGUAUAUGACUACAUGUAUUUGAAGAGAAUAAAACCGUAUGUUUUUGAGCGGGUCUCUUUUGUAUGUAUUUUAAAUAUCAUUUUAUCGAAUUAUUGUCGUUUGACUUUCGAUCAUUUCCGCAUUGAAUCCAGAUAAUAAUCUUCAAAUAUUCGAUGCCUUUCAUCCUUGAAUGCUUUUGCAAAUUGCAAAUAAUGAAAACCAUUGUAUCAGAUUUUUAUAAUUCUGAAAACGAACAAGUUUUCACAAUCAUUAAGAACGGAAUGAGAAUGUGUUCGAUUUGUUUAUGUAUAUUACAGAUGUCGUGCCAAAGGACGAAUCGCCGGACACAGCUUUAUGACUCCGUGCUUCAGCAAAGGUCACUUUAUCGUUUUUGAUGAGAGUAAAUUCGGAAUGGUUUGGUUGGAACUGACGGCAUUCAGCAUCUAUUUCCGAGUGGACGAAAACGAGUUGAAAGACUAAUUUUGUGAUUCAAAUGAAAUAUAUAUGUUAUAUAUAAAGUGAAACUGUCUACAUUGAGAUAUAUUACAAACAAACUGUAACAAUACUCUAUACAUGCUUUUAUGUAAUGCAAAGACGUCAUAAAAUGCCAUUUUUA
rnacentral:misc_RNA from 1 species